UACAGAGGGGGCAAGCGUUGUUCGGAAUUACUGGGCGUAAAGGGCGCGAUAGGCGGCCCGCUAAGUCGAACGUGAAAUCCCCAGGCUCAACCUGGGAACUGCCGUCCGGAUACUGGCAGGCUUGAAUCCGGGAGAGGGAUGUGGAAUUCCAGGUGUAGGCGGUGAAAUGCGUAGAUAUACGGAAGGAACACCAGUGGCGAAGGCGGCUACCUGGCAUGAUACUGACACUGAGGCGCGAAAGCGUGGGGAGCAAAGCAGG
rnacentral:rRNA from 1 species